rnacentral:lncRNA from 1 species
AGCUGUGGGCUUGUGGGGACGUUACGAACUUUAAAUAAACAAACAAACUAACUAAUUAACUAGAACAAGCUUGAGAUUCUUAACUUCAGACACCUUAGAAACCUCUUGGUUCCAGCAGCCUUAAGUUUCAGUCCCUGCUCUGUGGGGCAUUGUUCUGGAGAAGGUUCAGCUCUGGGGUCCUUUAGCUCUUCAGCGCUUCCACAAAGCCUGGCAAGUUUGGAAUGAACAUUUCCCUACCCCACAUGUCUUCAUUUGCUUCUACUUCUAACGUACUUAGAAAUUAUGGGAUGGAAGAUUCAAAAUGCUAAAUUUCUCUAAUAAUUUAAUUUUUUUUCAUAUACUAUGAAAUACAGAUCACCAUAAGAGGUAAUAGCUUCAAUCGUUCAAGACUACUAAGUGCUAAAAUACACCAGGAUGGAGCUAGGGUCAAUAUUUUUCAUUGGAAACAGGUCUAAUGGCAUUUUUGUUGUUUAUGAGUGUCAUCAACAGAGAUGUUACUAAACUUUGAGUACAGCUGUCAAUCAUCUGGUGUAAGCAUCUAGACUUGUGCACUAGUUAUCCUCGGAUGCCUCCAGCACCGUUCACUAAGUCAGUGACGCAAGUCUGCACUGCUAGGCCACACCACAAAAAACAAUUCCUACUACUAAGAAUUUUCAUGAUUAAUCAGAAAAAUUAAUGAGACAGUUUGUAUGCUUAAUAUAUUUAGCCCAAUUGUAUUUUAAAAGAUUUCUCUGUAAGAGUUGAAGAGCCAGGGUUGGGACACCCAGAGGGGCCCCACCCACUCAGAGGAGAAGGGGAUGGGGGAUGAGGGAAGGGCAGUGGGAGGGGGCAGUGAGUAAGAUAUAAAGUGAAUAAGUAAAAGAGAUAAAAUUAAACUUAAAAAAGUUUCAAAGGAAUCUAUUUCUGCAAAACCCAAACUACUACCGAAGGGAAAAUGUUAUGUUAGUUUUCUAAAUUUGGUAUGAAGGAGAAAAAACGCUGUCGAUUUUUGGCUUAGCACUCCAAAAGUUUUCCAUAGUAUCUGCUUAUUGUCUGCUAGUCAGUGGGCUUAGUUAUCUGUACUAUGCCAUCUCUUACUGAAGCAGCACUGCCUUCAGUCAGGGGUAGGAGGGCUCUCCACCCUUUAACACUCCUGCUCUCCCACCAUGGAACUGUGUAGUUGGCAUUCCCUAGUGUUCUAGAGAUGUCUUCCCUUCAUCAUAUAAACUGCCAGGCAAAGUGAUAUAGUCACUAGUAACACAGCCUUUGUUUUGUGUAAGGGAGGUUACAGAGAAACGGAAAGACCUCAUCCCAGACGCUUCUCGAGGGAGGAGGAGUUUGUGGUUUAUAGAGCCCAAUGGCCCUUAGUCUCGAAUGAGGAGUUCCAGCCCAUCCCAUAGGUUCAGACUGUUACGCAUGAGCUCGCUGGGACGGAGGAAGUGUGAAUAACAUCCAGCGAGCAUCGGCCACUCACAGCCAGGCAGAGGUUCCUAAAAAUAAAAUCUCAUCCAAAUGUAAUAAAGGAUUAUUAUUUUUUCCUCUUAAGAACCAGAAUUAUGGCCCAUGUUUUCAAAAUCACCUCCAGGAAAAUAACCUUCACUUGGGAGGAUUUUUUUAAUUUAGAUUUUUUUGAAGGGAGUAAGGAGCAAUUAUCUUUACUUAAAAGGUUUGUGGCCAAGACACUGUUAGAGAUUUUUAAUUAUGGCUAGGCCUUGAUGCAGUCCCCUGAGAUUUUACUUGAAGCUGUUACAAGCAACACUGAGCCAAUGGGAGCUUUACUUAUGAUAGUUACAGUUACUAGAAUAAAGACAACUCUAGAGAAACUGUCACACCACUGCUUUGUCUGUUCUCUGUCGUGAUAAUAUUGACACUUCUGCUGUUCUAAGUCCCUUCAUAAUUCUGACAUUCCACCAAGAGUGUUAGCGACAUGUUCCCGACAGCUGCUGAGUGUGCUGAGGGCUUUUCCGUUCUUGGUAUAUAAAUCAGUUGCAUUACGGAAGUUAUUCUUUACAUUGUUUGUAGGUCCGUGUGGAGGCAGUGCCAUUCUUCUGUCCCGGCCUGCCUGCCCCACUUCCCUCACCCUAAUCAGUCGUUCCUCCUGAGUGGCCUGGACCAGCUCUGUAGACAGAAAAAGAUGAACCCAGGAGUAUGUCAGUGUCAAGGCCCACAGGACCCACUGUGGCUUUUGAUUUGGAUGUCAUAAUUUGAGAUUGCUUUCCUUAAAUGAGGCACAUGACAGCGAGGACUGUGCCCUGUCGACUGGUUUCUCAGUUCUCUGUUUUCAUUUAAACCGUCAGAGUCAGUAAAAUCAGCCAGUACGAGCUACCUUGCCAAGUGGCCCCCAUGAACAUCCUCCCUGAAAGUGAAGCAUAACACAUUUCAAGUAGAAGAAAGCUUAGCAAAGCCAACAAUGUGUGCAGGUUGAAAGGGUCCUGCAGCUUUGUAGUCAGUUCAAGUGUGUUCUGCGCUGACUGCUGUCCUGCAUCCCUCCCUGAGGGUCUAUACCUUAUAAAUACACUGAACCUCAAGCCUACCUCCACGUCACCUUCUUGACCUGCGUUUCUGAUCUAAAGUGUCCUUGCAUAAGGUCAUUCUUGGGAAUAUUCACAGACAUGUGAGCAGGGCCGUGCCAUCUGUCUGUCCAUCAGACCGUCACAUACGACCAUCACACGCCUACUGAAGGCUUAUGAUUUUGAUGACAUUAUUUUGAAAUGGUUCAAACAGUAAGUGUUGUACUGGGAAUGGCUAAAAGUCUCAUGGUACAAGUAAAGGAUCACCAAGAACAAAGACAGAGAUUGCAUCUGGAAGAAGUUGUGGAGGUCUGAAGUCAGAACUUGAUAACCGUGGUGAUGAAGCCACUUGUAUGUCAUCUCCCAAAGCUGCCCACUAGUCUAAGAAUAUCUGAGGAGAGAGCAUGUGGCUCUGCAUCUCCUCACCCCAGAAGCCAGUAGUCACAGCCUCCAAGUCACAGAGGCAGAAAAUGGCAGUCAGAUUCCGAAGUCUGUGCUUUGACUUUGGGGUGGGCAAAAUGGAGACUAAAGAACAAAGCUAGACGUGGUGGUGUUCUCAAAUGAAAGACACAAAACCUCUAUAUUUACAAUAAGCCUCAAAGCACUAGAGCUGGGCAGAUAUCAACCCUCUGUGCUGUUUUGUUUAUUUCUCUCUCAGGAAUCCCGAGAUGUCAUUUGCCAUGUUCUUCCUGGGUCACUCCUACUCCAACAGGCUGAUCCUUAUGAUCAUGUGCUCAUGAACCAUCUCUUCUCAUAGGAGCUUCCUCCUUCUCCGCCUCCUUUCUUACUCUCCAUUUCUCCUUAGACUCCAAGCCUGGGAACCAAAGCCCUGCCUAUCUCUCUUGAGGUUUGGUCUGUUGCUAUGAAUUAUAAUGCCAAAUUUUGUAGCCCAAAGGUCUAGUAGCCUAUAAGCGAGUAGAUUCUUACAUUUACCAACUUUUGUUGCACAAACCUUGUCCCUUAAUUUAAAACUUUUGGUUAUAUAAAAGUGUUUACAGCCAGUACUGGAGGGAUUAGAGGUAGGCGGGCUUUGAGUUACCUGGAGAGAGGAGAAAGAAGAAGGGCUUGGGAGAGGAGGAAGCCACAGAGAGGAGACAUACAGGGCACACAGCCAGGAGAAACAGCAAGUCUUUGGGGUACACCGCAGGGGAGGUAGCCAGGCCAACAAUUAGAAAAAUAGAUUAUGGGUUGCCCCCUCCCCAGGAAUUGUCGGAGCCAAGUAGAAUAACCACAGUCUGAGUCUCACUCAUUCAUAAGCUAGACAGGAAUAAGUUUACAUUGGUCCAAGUACAGUCCAGCUUGAUGACACUAGUGAGUCUUCUGGGCUUGCUUACAGAGUGCAGUUGGGGGUUCCUGCAGGAGCCUUGGUGACCCCCAAACAACUGCAUCACUACAGAGCCCCCCCCAUCAUAGAUUGCAACCUCAAGGAAGCUGCAUCAUGGAUUCCUGCUCUCUUCAGCCUCUCCCAGGAUCUCAGGCAGCUCUACCACCAAUACCGUAGACCUGCUCCCCACCAUAUUGUUCUGCUAGUUACCAUGCCUAUUGGGCAAAGACCUAGGGUGGCACCAAGGAUCCCAGGAAAGGUGGUGUACAGCAAAAGUUGUAUAUGUGUUUAAGUAGGCUAGCUUAUUCCUGUAAGAAACCAAAUCUUCUGUUUUCACAAAGUGACCUUUCUUUACUGCAGAGGCAGUCCAGGGUUAUUUUCUAUUUCGAGUCAGAAACCCAUCCAUGGAAAGUAGCUCAUUCCUUCCCCGCUAUGGUCAGACUCUGUUUCACCAACCUCUGCCUGUCUAUCAUGCCUCCAGCCAUAUCUUAGCCUCUCAUGGAUGGGGCUAAGGAUUUGCUCAGAAGCCUCUAACAGGACUUUACAUUCUUCAGCACUUUUCUUCACAUGGGGUAAUGCCAAACUCACUUUUUAUCAUGCUUCCCUUGGGCACUGAGAAAAAGAAGAGCCUACCAUGCAGAGCCUCGCUGGGUCUCCUUGAAGUGUAUCCAGACAUACAAGUUGGUAUUUAAAAUAAGGUUUUAUUUGGUUUGCUUGUAGCAAGUUAAGAAAACCGAAUUCCAGGCAUUGAUCUAAUUUUCACAAGUUUCUUGCAGAAUGUCUGGAAACACAAUAGACAUUAUGACCAUGGAUGUCAAAGACUUGGCCACUAGGAAUUGGGUACAGGGUUGAGAUGUAGCAGUGACAGGUCAAUACUAUUCAUGUGUUGAUGAAGACCUGUGUUUACCAUUCUUUGCCUUAGAGAGCCCGUGAGUGAGUCAGGUACUACUUUUCAAUAUACUGCCUCCAGAAAUUAUCAUCUCAUUUCCUUAUUUUCCAUAGAAAAGAAAUAACUUCACUGCUAAAUU